AGUCGAACGGCAGCACGGACUUCGGUCUGGUGGCGAGUAUGAACGGGUGAGUAAUGUAUCGGAACGUGCCGAAGAAGUAGUAGAUAAUUUGAUGCUGAAAGUGUAGUUGUUUAUCAAAAAGUAUGGCCCUUCGGGGGAAAGCGGGGACCUUCGGGCCUCGCACUAUUAGAAAGGCCGAUAUCGGAUUAGCUAGUUGGUGGGGUAACGCUCACCACACGUGAUCCGUAGCUGGUUUGAGAGGACGACCAGCCACUGGGAUUCCGAGACACGGCCCAGACUUACGGGAGGCAGCAGUGGGAAUUCUUGACAAUGGAAACCUGAUCCAGCCAUCCCGCGCGUGUGCGAUGAAGGCCUGGCCAAAGCACUUUUUUGGCAGGAAAGAAACGGCACGGAUAAUAUUCCGCAAAACUGACGGUACCUGCAGAAUAAGCACCGGCUAACUACGUGUGCCAGCAGCCGCGGUAAUACGGCGUGGCAAAGACCGGAAUACUGGGCGUAAAGCGUGCAGGCGGUUCGGAAAGAAAGAUGAAAUCCAGAGCUGAAUCUGAACUGCAUUUUAAAUCUACUGGAUAGAGGCCAGAGGGAGGUGGAAUUCGCGUAGCAGUGAAAUGCGUAGAUAUGCGGAGGAACACCGAUGGUGAAGGCAGCCUCCUGGAUAACACUGACGGCUCAUGCACGAAAGCGUGGGGAGCAAACAGGAUUAGAUACUCCUGCAGUCCAGCACGCCCCAAACGAUACAAUUAGCUGUUGGGGCCUCGGGCCUGGUAAAGCAGCCCAACGCGGUGAAGUUGACCGCCUGGGGAGUACGGUCGCAAGAUUAAAAACUCAAAGGAAUUGACGGGGACCCGCACAAGCGGUGGAUGAUGUGGAUUAAUCUGAUGCAACGCGAAAAAAACCCUACCUACUCCUUGACAUGUCUGGAAUCCCGAAGAGAUUUGGGAGUGCUCGCAAGAGAACUGAACACAGGUGCUGCAUGGCUGUCGUCAGCUCGUGUCGAGAUGUUGGGUUAAGUCCCGCAACGAGCUGCAACCCCUUGUCAUUAGUUGCUUACGAAAGGGCACUCUAAUGAGACUGCCGGUGACAAACCGGAGGAAGGUGGGGAUGACGUCAAGUCCUCAUGGCCCUGCAGGUAGGGCUUCACACGUCAUACAAUGGUCGGGACAGAGGGUCGCCAACCCGCGAGGGGAGCCAAUCCCAGAAACCCGAUCAGCCGGAUCGCAGUCUGCAAAUCGACUGCGAAGUCGGAAUCGCUAGUAAUCGCGGUCAGCAUGUCGCGGUGAAUACGUUCCCGGUCUUGUACACGCACCUCGCCCGUCACACCAUGGAGUGGUUUUACCAGAAGAAUGCUGGGCCUAACCGUAAGGGAGGGCGAUUACCACGGUAGGAUUCACGACUGGGGUGAAGUCGUGAACAAGGUAA
rnacentral:rRNA from 1 species